GACGAACGCUGGCGGCGUGCUUAACACAUGCAAGUCGAACGGUAAGGCCCUUCGGGGUACACGAGUGGCGAACGGGUGAGUAACACGUGGGUGAUCUGCCCUGCACUUCGGGAUAAGCCUGGGAAACUGGGUCUAAUACCGGAUAGGACCACUGCCUGCAUGGGUGGGGGUGGAAAGCUUUUGUGGUGUGGGAUGGGCCCGCGGCCUAUCAGCUUGUUGGUGGGGUGAUGGCCUACCAAGGCGACGACGGGUAGCCGGCCUGAGAGGGUGACCGGCCACACUGGGACUGAGAUACGGCCCAGACUCCUACGGGAGGCAGCAGUGGGGAAUAUUGCACAAUGGGCGCAAGCCUGAUGCAGCGACGCCGCGUGAGGGAUGACGGCCUUCGGGUUGUAAACCUCUUUCAGCACCGACGAAGCGCAAGUGACGGUAGGUGCAGAAGAAGGACCGGCCAACUACGUGCCAGCAGCCGCCGUAA
rnacentral:rRNA from 1 species